rnacentral:rRNA from 1 species
AAUAUUGCGCAAUGGAGGGAACCCUGACGCAGCAACGCCGCGUGAGUGACGAAGGNCUNNGGGUCNUNAAGCUCUGUCAUUAGNNNNNAAAGAAAUGACAGUACCUAAGGAGGAAGCCCCGGCUAACUACGUGCCAGCAGCCGCGGUAAUACGUAGGGGGCGAGCGUUGUCCGGAAUUACUGGGCGUAAAGGGCGUGUAGGCGGCUGAUUAAGUCAGAUGUGGAAGGCCCCGGCUUAACCGGGGUAUUGCAUUUGAAACUGGUUAGCUUGAGUGCAGGAGAGGAAAGUGGAAUUCCUAGUGUAGCGGUGAAAUGCGUAGAUAUUAGGAGGAACACCAGUGGCGAAGGCGACUUUCUGGACUGCAACUGACGCUGAGGCGCGAAAGCGUGGGUAGCGAAC